GCUAGAGUUCAGUUCCAUCCUGGAGCUCAAGCUUGGAGGAGCUCAGCAGACAGCUUUCCUUCAGACCGGUCACGACAGACAGAGAGGCCUUGUAUGUUAUGAGAACGGAUCUUUGGAAGAAGGACUUUGUUACCCGAGGUCUCAGGGAAGGUCAUUUGUUAGAAUUUCUCAAGAAAAUGAAUUAUCUUCUUUCUCAUAGGGAGAGGUGGGUGGCAGACACAUACUCAGGGGUGGGAGGAGAAGAUAGAUAAGAACAGAACUCAAGAGUUGACAUUCCCAGCCCACCAUACUCAAAUUCUGCCUUUAUUUAAUGGGAGAGAUUGUUUGCUUCAGCCAGAUGUUCAAGCGCACUCCACCAACAUCCCAACCCAGGAAGGAAAACAAGCUAGCCACAGAAGACCACCCAAUUUAUCUCCUGUCUCUGUCAGCAAUCCAAGAGUCAGGAGGCUCCUGGGAAAUGUAGUUCAAAGGCACAAGAUUACCAAUUACAUUCAAGGGAGCAUCUACAGAAGUAAUUCAGCUGCCCUAGCAAGGGGGACAUUUUCAAAGGAUGAAGAAUUGACUGAACCUCAAAGGCUGGAUGAUUCCAUUUAUGCACUUCAGUACAACUCCGUCACACCUUUGGGCUCACCCUAGCCAAAAGCCUUUGGUCUCUUUCUUCACCUUGCUUUACACUCCCUUCUUCUCCCCCCACCUCAACCUUUCAGCUCCACUUUACAUUUAAGUGGGUUCAGAUGGGUUUCUGAUGUGCUGUGGCCUUGGAUGUAUUACUGAAUAAACGAUUCUAGAAAUCAAUUAAGCACUUGGAGAGGGAAAAGAUGAAGGAAGCCAGAAGACCUGGGAUGUAGAUGUUUUUCAAGGAUGCUCUCCUUUUCUUUAACCUUUCAUUCAACUGUAUGUGUUUCUUACACUUGCUGUCUAGUGUUAGGCAUGUGAAGGGUUGUGACUUUAGUGUCUUUCUUCCUGCAUCAAAGUAGAAGAUAUGGUACUCUGGACCCCAGCUAAGCCCUAGACCCCUAUCAUCCUAUUUAAAGGGCAGAUAGUGUUAUCCCCCCUCCCCAUACACCAUUUAGACCAUUUAGCCAGCUGGUCUGCUCUUCCCAAAGUCUCCUGGACACCCUCAGAACUGCCCAUGACAGUACUGCUUGUUGGGUCAGGGUUAUGAUCAGCCCUUUGCCCUUUGAACACAAUAUAAUCUCUCCUGUGCCCAUCAACAUACUUAGACCCUGUUACCAAUAAUAGUUUAUUUUUUUCACAUUGAAAGAAACCAUGACACUGGUGCCAACAGGAUAGUCCUACCAACAUCCACAAAUGCAUGCUAGUAUACCCUGUGUCCAUAUAUAUCAGGCUCUUGACAGUCAAUGUGAUAUUUUCCAAAGCUUUUUUUUUUUUAGGAAAAAGAGAGUGGAAAAAAUGUUCCUGUCAUUGUUCACUGUGCUGUUUCUGCCUCCUAUUAGCUCUGCUAAGAUGCACCCAAAGAAAAGAAAAUACAAUUGCAUACCAUUAACAAUGGAAAUUAUUAAUAGGAGCAAGAGCUUUAAUCCAUUCUACAAGUAAUUCUGUAGUGAUUUUAGUAAUUGAUAGUAAUUAAACGCUAAUUAAUUCAUUUCCUAAGUCAGGCAUUUGCUUUAUUUAUGGGUAUUCACUUUAAUUACACUUGUUUUCACUAUUUGGGUUAAGUAAUACAAAUUUGUACUCUCUUUUCUAGAAAUAUUUAUUUGGGUUUCUUUAAGACAUUCUUAGAGAGUAUGUGGGAAUAAAGAAUAAUUGCUUUGAACUGAAGCUAAGCACACUGAUUUCUUUCUUUGGAAAUGUACAGCUGAUAGAAGGUGAAGAUUUUCUAUAUCAGGUAGCUUUGUGUAUCCUUCUCUCACUCUCUGCCCUCCCCCACUCCUGCAAUCCUAUUCUGUCUUACUACCAGAGACUGUUUCUGCCCAAGAAGAUUAGAAGCACAGGUGGCCCAUGAAUCUGAAGCAUCAGCACAUAUACAUCCUGGUUUGUGUCUUCAUUUUUAGUUGUGUGUGACAGGCCUGGAUGGACAUGAUGGAUUGAGGGAAUGGGUUAUGGGAAUGCUUGUAGGACUGUGAGGCAACAAACUGGUCUUGUUGCUGAUGGGGCAGAAGUUAUUCAAGCACACACAAUGCCUUUCAUGAAAUUGGACAUUUAAUAAACACUUGUUGAAAGAAAGAAUUAGGGGCCAUUCAGUGACUUAGUGGAUUGAGAGCUAAGCCUAGAAAUGGGAAGUAGAGGUUUCAAAUCUGGCCUCAGACCCUUCCUAGCAAGUCACUUACCUCCCAUUGCCUAGUUCUUACCACUCUUCUGCCUUGUACCCAGUACACAUUAUUGAUUCUAAGAUGGAAGGAAAAGGUGAAAAAAAAUAAAGAAAAUAAAUUAAUCAAUGAGUGAAUGAA